rfam:Leuconostoc pseudomesenteroides PS12 contig_017, whole genome shotgun sequence.
AGUAUCGGGUAAUUGCGCGUCAUAUUUCUGACGUGAGGAAGGUCCAUGCUCGCACACUCUGAGAUGGGUGUAGUGUUUGUGCCGGGAUAAAGAAUAAACCCGGGGGCAGUGAUGCCACGGCGAUCGAAAAGGCUAAGGCUUCUAGCUAUGUCUGAAUAGAUACGAAGGUGCCAUAGAAACGUAUAUGUCAGUGAAAAUUGGCAUUUGAGACGAGGUAAACCCCACAAGCGGGCAACCCAAACUUUUGGUAGGGGCGGCUGAUCUAGUAAAAUGAAACGAUGAUCGGUAUGGUUUAAGCAAUUGAACUUAGAUAGAUGAUUACCGAAGGUGAUAUGUACCUGCAUAUCACUGGAACAAAACAUGGCCUACAGAU